UAAUGAAGGUUACGUAACUAAGGAGAGAGGGACCCUAGGAGGGAUGUAAAGGAGUUGAUGAAAUCCUGUUAAGACAGACAAUCAGAUGGUAUGGCCUCUGAGGACCCACAAGACCAACUGGAUGAGGCUAUUAAAAAGGCAGAACGCCUUGCUGAAGAGCUCAACCCAGAGAAGGACCCACAAGCCCAACUGGACGAGGCCAAAAAGGCUGGCUGAGGAGCUCAACCCAGAACGGGAAAAUAAGAAGAAAAAGAGAAACAAGCCUCCAGGGAUUAGGUUCAGAUGGAGACAAAGGGAUGAGAAAGGACAGAUUGUUCCUCAAACCAGGAAGGCAACUACAUCCACUUCUGUUGCUCCAAGGGCCAGUACAUCUAGAGCCAGACUAGUGCAACAUUUUGGGCUAGUCACUGAGGAGGAAGAAUUAGAGACAAGGACCAGUGGAUUGGAAUCCACUCCAGUUUUAAACAUUGAUGAAGAAAUAGCAAUACUUCAUCGAAAAAUUAACAUCCUCCUAGCUGACUUAAAAGACCCUGAGUGUUCAAAUCCUGCUGUGCCUGGUGCAUCACACAGUUGGAGUGUGAGGAAGGAACUCUCACAGGAUAGGUGGAGGGAGUCCAGGCCUGAGAUUGUAGAUUCUCUGCUGGCUGCAGAGCAUGCUUCUCAGAAGAUCUGUCAGUCAUGCAAUGUGAAAAUGGCUAUUCUGCGAUGUAGAGACUGUCUGCCGAAACAGCUUUACUGCGAAGACUGCGAUCUCUCUAUACAUGCAAAGUUCCCCCUGCACAACAGACAGUCCAUGAUCGAGGGAUUCUACACGCCCCUUCCUCCAACUACAGCCAUAUCUCUCCACAGUGAUGGCAAAUAUGCACUUCAUGAACAGGAUUGUUUCUUACCAUUGGACGUACCAGAGGUGAUAUGUGGUUGCCUGACUAGCACCUUCCAUGUUGGCCCUGGGAAACAUAUCAUCCUCAUAGGAAUAAAUGGUCUCUACAAUGUUACAGUGCCUGUGCUGACCUGCACAACCUGUCUCAGCACCUGGACAGCAAACUUGGCAGAUCUGAUAAAGAAUGGGUACUGGCCUGCCACUGUCAACUGUGACACCAUAUACCAGGUAGAUGUCUUCAGCUCUUUUGAGGAGCUGAAAGUGUCAGCCCCAGGAAUGUCCCGUCUAGCGUUUAUGCGGAUUUUGGAGCAGCGAACUGACUUCUUUGGCAGGGUAACAAUAAAUUAUACUCAGCUUUACCAAUGUAUGACUUCAGGUUAA
rnacentral:lncRNA from 8 species